UGGUUUCGAAAGCAAGAACGAGAAAAACAAAAAGGAUAGG
rnacentral:tRNA from 13 species